GUGGCGGGAGCCGGCUGCGGGAGGAGGGGCGCGCGCCUGCCAGGGGGCCGCUUCGCCGGCGUCUCCGCUCCCUCCCUCCGCAGCUUGACCCGGUAGUGAAGGCGGAGAGAGAGGCAGGCUGGGUCCGCCUGGCAGCCCGCGAGGGGAGGCGGGAGCGGGGAAGGAGGGGAGCCGAGGCCCGGCGUGGGGAGGCCGGCAGGCAGGCAGGCUGGGAGCCAAGCGCGGACCUGGCUUCAGAUCUCCCCGCGGCGAGCGGAGCUGGGCUGCGGCGCAGAGAGGACGCCCCGCCGCACUGCGAGCCCUUGAUGGGGGCGCGUCUGGGGCCCGCGCCGCCGCCCGCCCCCGCCCGCCCCCGCUCGGGAUCCCGCCGGGGGAGAGGCCCGGGCGCCGGGAGCCGGGGAGGCACGCGGAGGGGCUCGCAGUGCAGAGAUUUCGACUCUUCCGGUUUUCAGCCAGACCCGUGGCGGAGUUCUCAGAGUUCCCCCCGAGGAGCAGAAAGUUAGGGAGCUGCAGGCUGGUCACCGGAGCGGGGAGGGCAGAGCUGCACCCCUUUCGCGCGCGUCGGGCUGGGACGGGGCCUGAGCGCAGGGCGGAAUGUCUGGUGAAAGGCGAUGCCCGGGAGCGAGGGGAAGGGGCUUCGGGUUUCCUUGUUUGGAGGAGCGGAAAGGGGCUGCGGGCGGUGGGGCUGGGCAAAGGGGUGCGGUGAGCAGCCUCCUCGGAGAAAUGGACAGUUUCACCCACGCCCUGGCCCUGGCAAGCCCUCCGACUCGGACUUGUAACUUGGGAAGAAACCUUAAGAGGACCUGGCCCGACCACCCCCUGCGACAGGGAAGGAAAAGAAGGCUCCGAGGGUGAACACUGCGGCCCAUCGGGGCCGGAACUCAGCUCGCGGGCCCGCCACCAGGCUCCGUCAUUAACCUUCAGCAAGUUCUCAGCCAGGAGGAGAGUAUUGGUCUUAGUAUUGAGAAGUAAUACCUUGUCCAACGUCUCUGCAACUCAAGAACGUACUCAAACAACUGUCAGUCAGCCACCUAGCCCUGUGCAAAACAAUCUGAGGAAAGCACAACGGAAAAGGGAGAUGCCAUCUUGCCUCCAUGAUUCGACAAGCAUGAAGAUAAAAGCUUCACUGUGAGCAUGAUGGAGCCAAAUGACAGAAAGGGACUUAGACUCCCUUCCUUCACACUUCUUGUUAUGUGAGGGAAAUAAAAUGCUGUUGUAAGUUUAAGCUACAGAGAUGGGCUUCUGCUUCAUGUAACUAAAUAUGUCACAAUUCAUACAAUAUGAAUAAAAUUGGUAAAAGUAUUCAUUUCAAAGGCUUAAUCUGAGAGACUCAUGAUACCUAACACAAUCAAAUCUCCAAAAAAUUAUAGUUCUUUAAUUCAUUGUGAUUUUGAAUUGAUCUUUUAUAACCUUCUAGUUACCAAACUAUUAAAUACAUUUGAACAUUCAA